rnacentral:rRNA from 1 species
GACGAACGCUGGCGGCGUGCUUAACACAUGCAAGUCGAACGGAAAGGCCCUGCUUGCAGGGUACUCGAGUGGCGAACGGGUGAGUAACACGUGGGUUAUCUGCCCUGCACUUCGGGAUAAGCCUGGGAAACUGGGUCUAAUACCGGAUAGGAGCCAUUUUUAGUGUGAUGGUUGGAAAGUUUUUUCGGUGUAGGAUGAGCUCGCGGCCUAUCAGCUUGUUGGUGGGGUAAUGGCCUACCAAGGCGGCGACGGGUAGCCGGCCUGAGAGGGUGGACAGCCACAUUGGGACUGAGAUACGGCCCAGACUCCUACGGGAGGCAGCAGUGGGGAAUAUUGCACAAUGGGCGCAAGCCUGAUGCAGCGACGCCGCGUGGGGGAUGACGGCCUUCGGGUUGGAAACUCCUUUCGCUAGGGACGAAGCUUUUUGUGACGGUACCUAGAUAAGAAGCACCGGCUAACUACGUG